CUUAUUGGGCUCCUGUCUGCAGGAUUUACGCGCACGUUGGAACCGAAGAGAGCUCUGUUGUUGCAAUGUUCAGCCCACAAGACCUUACUGGUGAAGGAAUGGGACAAGACCCAUCUUUAUGCAAAGCCAGCGUUACAGUAAUGUCCCAGCAUCUCAUAAUCUAUCCUGGGGAAUUCAGCUGCCUCCCAGGGUGAAUACAGGUAUUCCUGAUGACAGUCUGCCUUCUAUCUUACAGAGCAGCUUGUUGCUAUAUACCAUUGAAAAGCCUUCAGAGCUGAGAGGUACUACUAACCAAUAACCUGCUUGGCUCAAAGGGCCAGCACCUUCUCUCUAAAGCCCAAGAGGAGUUUGAGGUAAAUGGCUUUGCAAUAGUUACCAUCAAUGGCUGCUAUAUAAAAUUUUCUGUGAUUUUUGUGUGUGAUAGCACUGUGGUCUGGGUGAAUGUACACAGACAUAACUGGCUUAAUCCAAAGUCUUUGAUCUCCUGAACCACCAGUGAUGAAUUGCUGCUCACCAGUGAUGAGUUGAAUACCGCCCCAGUCUGAUCAAUG
rnacentral:sRNA from 1 species